GCUAUACAUGCAAGUCGAGCGAACUGAUUAGAAGCUUGCUUCUAUGACGUUAGCGGCGGACGGGUGAGUAACACGUGGGCAACCUGCCUGUAAGACUGGGAUAACUUCGGGAAACCGAAGCUAAUACCGGAUAGGAUCUUCUCCUUCAUGGGAGAUGAUUGAAAGAUGGUUUCGGCUAUCACUUACAGAUGGGCCCGCGGUGCAUUAGCUAGUUGGUGAGGUAACGGCUCACCAAGGCAACGAUGCAUAGCCGACCUGAGAGGGUGAUCGGCCACACUGGGACUGAGACACGGCCCAGACUCCUACGGGAGGCAGCAGUAGGGAAUCUUCCGCAAUGGACGAAAGUCUGACGGAGCAACGCCGCGUGAGUGAUGAAGGCUUUCGGGUCGUAAAACUCUGUUGUUAGGGAAGAACAAGUACGAGAGUAACUGCUCGUACCUUGACGGUACCUAACCAGAAAGCCACGGCUAACUACGUGCCAGCAGCCGCGGUAAUACGUAGGUGGCAAGCGUUAUCCGGAAUUAUUGGGCGUAAAGCGCGCGCAGGCGGUUUCUUAAGUCUGAUGUGAAAGCCCACGGCUCAACCGUGGAGGGUCAUUGGAAACUGGGGAACUUGAGUGCAGAAGAGAAAAGCGGAAUUCCACGUGUAGCGGUGAAAUGCGUAGAGAUGUGGAGGAACACCAGUGGCG
rnacentral:rRNA from 2 species